CUGCCUUUUGGUUUGGAAUAACACGGGGAAACUUGUGCUAAUACCGGAUAAGCCUUUACAGGGAAAGUUUUAACGCCAAAAGAUGAGCCCAUACUUGAUUAGCUAGUUGGUAAGGUAAUGGCUUACCAAGGCUACGAUCAAUAGCUGAUCUGAGAGGAUGAUCGGCCACAUUGGGACUGAGACACGGCCCAAACUCCUACGGGAGGCAGCAGUGGGGAAUCUUGCACAAUGGGGGAAACCUUGAUGCAGCGAUGCCGCGUGAGUGAAGAAGGCCUUUGGGUUGUAAAGCUCUUUCGUCGGGGAAGAAAAUGACUGUACCCGAAUAAGAAGGUCCGGCUAACUUCGUGCCAGCAGCCGCGGUAAUACGAAGGGACCUAGCGUAGUUCGGAAUUACUGGGCUUAAAGAGCUCGUAGGUGGUUAAGAAAGUUGGUGGUGAAAUCCCAAGGCUUAACCUUGGAACUGCCACCAAAACUUUUUGACUAGAGUAUGAUAGAGGUAAGUGGAAUUUCUAGUGUAGAGGUGAAAUUCGUAGAUAUUAGAAAGAACACCAAUUGCGAAGGCAACUUUCUGGAUCAUUACUGACACUGAGGGAGCGAA
rnacentral:rRNA from 1 species